rnacentral:rRNA from 1 species
CCCAGACUCCUACGGGAGGCAGCAGUGGGGAAUAUUGCACAAUGGGGGGAACCCUGAUGCAGCGACGCCGCGUGGGUGAAGGAGUAUUUCGGUAUGUAAAGCCCUAUCAGCAGGGAAGAACAAUGACGGUACCUGACUAAGAAGCACCGGCUAAAUACGUGCCAGCAGCCGCGGUAAUACGUAUGGUGCAAGCGUUAUCCGGAUUUACUGGGUGUAAAGGGAGCGCAGGCGGCGCGUUAAGCCUGGUGUGAAAGCCCGCGGCCCAACCGCGGGACUGCAUUGGGAACUGGCGCGCUGGAGUGCCGGAGGGGUAGGCGGAAUUCCUAGUGUAGCGGUGAAAUGCGUAGAUAUCACGCAGAACUCCGAUUGCGAAGGCAGCAUACCGGCGCCCAACUGACGCUGAAGCACGAAAGCGUGGGUAUCGAACAGGAUUAGAUACCCUAGUA